UACGUAGGGGGCAAGCGUUGUCCGGAAUCAUUGGGCGUAAAGAGCGUGUAGGCGGUCCGGUAAGUCGGCUGUGAAAGUCCAGGGCUCAACCCUGGGAUGCCGGUCGAUACUGCCGGACUAGAGUUCGGAAGAGGCGAGUGGAAUUCCCGGUGUAGCGGUGAAAUGCGCAGAUAUCGGGAGGAACACCUAUGGCGAAGGCAGCUCGCUGGGACGUUACUGACGCUGAGGCACGGAAGCGUGGGGAGCAAACAGG
rnacentral:rRNA from 1 species